rnacentral:rRNA from 1 species
UACGUAGGGUGCAAGCGUUGAUCGGAAUUACUGGGCGUAAAGCGUGCGCAGGCGGUUUUGUAAGUCUGAUGUGAAAUCCCCGGGCUCAACCUGGGAAUUGCAUUGGAGACUGCAAGGCUAGAAUCUGGCAGAGGGGGGUAGAAUUCCACGUGUAGCAGUGAAAUGCGUAGAGAUGUGGAGGAACACCGAUGGCGAAGGCAGCCCCCUGGGUCAAGAUUGACGCUCAUGCACGAAAGCGUGGGGAGCGAACAGG